rnacentral:rRNA from 1 species
GCAUGGUAGGAGAGCGUUCUGUAAGCCUGUGAAGGUGUCUUGUAAAGGAUGCUGGAGGUAUCAGAAGUGCGAAUGCUGACAUGAGUAGCGAUAAAGGGGGUGAAAAGCCCCCUCGCCGUAAGCCCAAGGUUUCCUACGCAACGUUCAUCGGCGUAGGGUGAGUCGGCCCCUAAGGCGAGGCAGAGAUGCGUAGCUGAUGGGAAGCAGGUUAAUAUUCCUGCACCGUCGUAUGAUGCGAUGGGGGGACGGAUCGCGGAAGGUUGUCCGGGUGUUGGAAGUCCCGGUCCCUGCAUUGGAGAAGGCGCUUAGGCAAAUCCGGGCGCGGAAUUCAAGGAUGUGGGGCGAGCGGCCUAGUGCUGCGAAGCAAUUGGAAGUGGUUCCAAGAAAAGCCUCUAAGCUUCAGUCAUACGAGACCGUACCGCAAACCGACACAGGUGGGCGAGAUGAGUAUUCUAAGGCGCUUGAGAGAACUCGGGAGAAGGAACUCGGCAAAUUGGUACCGUAACUUCGGGAUAAGGUACGCCCUUGUAGCUUGACUGGCCUGCGCCAGGAGGGUGAAGGGGUUGCAAUAAAAUGGUGGCUGCGACUGUUUAAUAAAAACACAGCACUCUGCAAACACGAAAGUGGACGUAUAGGGUGUGACGCCUGCCCGGUGCCGGAAGAUUAAAUGAUGGGGUGCAAGCUCUUGAUUGAAGUCCCGGUAAACGGCGGCCGUAACUAUAACGGUCCUAAGGUAGCGAAAUUCCUUGUCGGGUAAGUUCCGACCUGCACGAAUGGCGUAACGAUGGCCACACUGUCUCCUCCCGAGACUCAGCGAAGUUGAAGUGUUUGUGAUGAUGCAAUCUCCCCGCGGCUAGACGGAAAGACCCCAUGAACCUUUACUGUAGCUUUGCAUUGGACUUUGAACCGAUCUGUGUAGGAUAGGUGGGAGGCUUUGAAGCGUGGACGCUAGUCUGCGUGGAGCCGUCCUUGAAAUACCACCCUGGUUUGUUUGAGGUUCUAACCUUGGCCCGUGAAUCCGGGUCGGGGACAGUGCAUGGUAGGCAGUUUGACUGGGGCGGUCUCCUCCCAAAGUGUAACGGAGGAGUUCGAAGGUACGCUUGGUACGGUCGGACAUCGUACCUAAAGUGCAAUGGCAAAAGCGUGCUUAACUGCGAGACCGACAAGUCGAGCAGGUGCGAAAGCAGGACAUAGUGAUCCGGUGGUUCUGAAUGGAAGGGCCAUCGCUCAACGGAUAAAAGGUACUCUGGGGAUAACAGGCUGAUACCGCCCAAGAGUUCAUAUCGACGGCGGUGUUUGGCACCUCGAUGUCGGCUCAUCUCAUCCUGGGGCUGUAGCCGGUCCCAAGGGUAUGGCUGUUCGCCAUUUAAAGAGGUACGUGAGCUGGGUUUAAAACGUCGUGAGACAGUUUGGUCCCUAUCUGCCGUGGGCGUUGGAAUCUUGACGGGGGCUGCUCCUAGUACGAGAGGACCGGAGUGGACGUACCGCUGGUGUACCUGUUGUCUCGCCAGAGGCAUCGCAGGGUAGCUAUGUACGGAAGAGAUAACCGCUGAAAGCAUCUAAGCGGGAAACUCGCCUGAAGAUGAGGAUUCCCUGGAGCCUUGAGCUCCUUGAAGGGUCGUUCGAGACCAGGACGUUGAUAGGCUGGGUGUGGAAGCGCAGUAAUGCGUUAAGCUAACCAGUACUAAUUGCCCGUAAGGCUUGAUCCUAUAACCAGUGUGUUUC